UACAGAGGUGGCAAGCGUUGUUCGGAAUUACUGGGCGUAAAGGGCGCGUAGGCGGUUCGUUAAGUCCUGUGUGAAAUCCCCCGGCUCAACUGGGGAACUGCACAGGAAACUAGCGGGCUUGAGUUCGGGAGAGGGAAGCGGAAUUCCGGGUGUAGCGGUGAAAUGCGUAGAUAUCUGGAGGAACACCGGUGGCGAAGGCGGCAUCCUGGACCAACACUGACACUGAGGAGCGAAAGCCAGGGGAGCAAACGGG
rnacentral:rRNA from 1 species